rnacentral:rRNA from 1 species
CCUACGGGAGGCAGCAGUGGGGAAUAUUGGACAAUGGGCGAAAGCCUGAUCCAGCCAUGCCGCGUGUGUGAAGAAGGCCUUCGGGUUGUAAAGCACUUUCAGUGGGGAAGAAAGCCUUGGGGCUAAUACCCUCGAGGAAAGACAUCACCCACAGAAGAAGCACCGGCUAACUCCGUGCCAGCAGCCGCGGUAAUACGGAGGGUGCGAGCGUUAAUCGGAAUUACUGGGCGUAAAGCGCGCGUAGGCGGUCUGAUAAGCCGGUUGUGAAAGCCCCGGGCUCAACCUGGGAACGGCAUCCGGAACUGUCAGGCUAGAGUGCAGGAGAGGAAGGUAGAAUUCCCGGUGUAGCGGUGAAAUGCGUAGAGAUCGGGAGGAAUACCAGUGGCGAAGGCGGCCUUCUGGACUGACACUGACGCUGAGGUGCGAAAGCGUGGGUAGCAAACAGGAUUAGAUACCCGUGUAGUC